CCCCUUUCCCAGCUGCCCGGAAGGCCCUAUAUCAGAGGCGUCCGGGCAACCGGACUAUGGUGAUAAACGCGCGCGGAAUAAGCGGAUCGGACCCGGGGGCGGUACCCGGCGGCUCCACCAAGCUCCUCGUUGGGGACCAUGGGGCCGAAACAGGAUCGACGGACGUCUAAAGGCGUUAGCUUUUACUCGGCAGGAUGCCACCGUUAUCGGCUCAAAUCGCAUAGUUGCCAACGACAACCAUGCUCCGGUGGCGGUCGCCGCGUAAGCGGUGAUCUAAACCGAACUUAAGUCCUGGGCCUUAGCCGGUUCAGGCGGGGUUCGCAGGCACCUGGCAACAGAAGCCUGCACU
rnacentral:tmRNA from 1 species